rnacentral:rRNA from 1 species
AACACUCUAUAUGCCUNUAUUACAUAAGNAAGCAAGGGAAACAUUUAUGGCUUUGGGAUGAGACUGUACGGUAUCAGCUUGUUGGUGGGGUAAUGGCUCACCAAGGCAAUGACGCCUAACUGGUUUGAGAGGACGAUCAGUCACACUGGAACUGAGACACGGUCCAGACUCCUACGGGAGGCAGCAGUGGGGAAUAUUGCACAAUGGACGAAAGUCUGAUGCAGCAACGCCGCGUGGAGGAUGACACAUUUCGGUGCGUAAACUCCUUUUAUAUGAGAAGAUAAUGACGGUAUCAUAUGAAUAAGCACCGGCUAACUUCGUGCCAGCAGCCGCGGUAAUACGAGGGGUGCAAGCGUUACUCGGAAUCACUGGGCGUAAAGAGCAUGUAGGCGGGUAGAAAAGUCAGAAGUGAAAUCCUAUAGCUCAACUAUAGAACUGCUUCUGAAACUCUUUACCUAGAGUAUGGGAGAGGUAGAUGGAAUUUCU